GCUGCGCCGCGUUCCUGCGCGCGCCGGGAGGCGGGUUGGAGGCGUGGUCGCGCACACCCCCAGGCCUGAGCUGCUAAAGCCCUUUCCACCCAGCUCUGGGCAGAGACCCGCAGGUCCGGAGUCCGUGGUCCCAAGCAGACGCUCAGCGGUCAGUAAGAUUUUAUUAAAGGCUCAGAACUAAGCAUUUCGUCUUUUCGCCGCCACCUUAAAGCCCUUGCCCAGAGAGUCCAGGCUUUCUGAUCCCGCUGCAUCUCUUCUUCAGAACAAAAUGCCUCUGGAUGCUUCUGCUCAGUCGUCCUGGAAUAGCUCUGUGGCGGAGGUGUAGACCGUGCUGACUUGUGCUGCAAAGACAUGCGAAGCCCACAGGGGAGGAUCGCCCAAGCCUUGGCGUCGGGAGUUCUUGCCGGGGACUGGUCCUGUAGACUCGGUUGAUCCCCAUGCGGCCGACCUCAGUCUCCAGCCCCUCCAGAGGUCAAGGUGAUAGAUUUCAGCCCAAAGCCCCAGGAGCAUAACCUUUUUUGGAAUCUAGUAUAAUAUCUUGAAAAGGCUAUGCCAAAGUUCCUGGGCCAGGGAUUGAACCCACGCCACAGCAGUGACAGUGCAAGAUCCUUAACCCACUGAGCCACCAGGGAACUCCAAAACUGACCUUCUAAGAAGAUAACUACACUUAUCUUGUGGCUUUAAAAACUGGCCCAGGAAUUCCCACUGUGGUGCAAUGGGAUUGGUGAUUGGAGGCAUCUCUGCAGCACUGGGACACAGGUUUGAUCCCUGGCUCAGCACAGUGGAUCAAGGAUGCGGUGUUGCCGCAAGUGCGACAUGGGUCACAACUGCGGCUUGAAUCUGAUUUCCCCGGGAACUCCAGAUGCCACGGGGUGGCCACAAAAGAAAACAAACAAACAAACAAAAAGGGGCCCAAUGCAGAGGGCAGGGGGGAGAGUCAAGAAACCGCAGAUUUGGGAGCUGGGCUCCUUGGCAGCGCCUGCAGACCUGUGUAGAGCACUGUCCUCUGCAGAGGCCCUGGCGGGUCCCUGCGCGAUGGCCUCUGUGCCCCCGGCCCCUUCGCAAGUCUCUCAGACUUCACACACCUGCGGCAGAGCAUGUGCGAAGCUGGCUCCCAGCGACCCCGCCGCCUCUGUGUGCCCCUCCUCCCUCGCCAGGCGGUGUCGGCUCCUCUGAAGCCGACCUGGCCUUGCGACUUGGUCUGAAGAGCAGAGCGCUUCCACUUUUGCUACCCUGCUGGAGAUAACCGUGCAAUCCACAUCCUGUUUGGCCUCCCACGCCCAGCGUGGACCCGGCUCCUCCGCCAAGGCCCACUGCGGCAGACACUCGCGGGGCUUGGUGUCACGUCAUGGCUUGGGGUUGGGUUAUUAAAGAAGCGCAGAGAAGCGCAUGAAACGCACGGUGAGGAGGAGGAAGAGGAAUAGAUUUGAAAUGUUGCGUAACCUUCUACUCAUCUUCCCCCCAGCCCCCUCAAUCCACUCUCCGGAGAGCAGCCCCGGGAACUUUAAAACACAAAUCGGAUUAUAUCACUUCCCCUACUUUUGGCGGUAGCCGCGGCAGGUGGAAGUUCGGGGGCCACUGCAGUGACAACGCUGGGCCCCUAACCCGCUGAGCCACCAAGGAGCACUCAGUCACUCCCUUCUUUCCAACCCUGCCGUUGUUUUCCACCUCGGAAGAACCCCCAAAUUUCUCACAAUGGCUUGUAAACCCUUUCACGACGGAUCCUCGCUAACUGAGACGCCCCGUCCCAGUCCCGGCCCGUGAUUCCCUCCUCCUCCCUCACUUAUGCUUCCGCCACUCGAGCCUUUGGGGGCCGUGUGGACUCCUUGCCUCAGGACUUUGGACUCGAUGUGAAUUUUGCCUCAACGUCCCCCCAGAACUUCACGCCGCUGGCUCCUUCCUUCUUGUGAUUAGGUCUCAGCUCAAAGGUGGCUGCUUUGGCAGCAGGUCCCCCCGGACGCAGACCCUUCUCCACCCAAGAUACUCUUCAGCUCAUCCAUAUGCCAUUUGGUAGCCACGGCGACUAGAACCAGCUCGUCCAGCCAGAAUGAAAGUUCUAUGAGAACAGAGACUAUGUUGUGUUUAUCACUGUCUCUCCAGCACCUAGAAUGAUAGGUACGCAAUAAAUAAUUGUUGAAUUAAUGGGUGAAAAUACAGCCUCUACUCUUACAUUUCUGCUAUUUAGGAAAUACUAAUCAGAGAGCAUGGAGUUGUAGAAAGAACACUGAUCUUGGAAUCAAACAGCCCUAGAUCUUAAUCCUCAAGAGCUGUGGGAUUUUGAGUCAUAUAAUUUCUCCUGAGAUUGUUUCUCAUCUGUUAAAAGAAAAAAAAAAGUAACAAUAAAGCCUUCCUUACAGGGUUGUAAUUAGGAUUAAAAGCAAGUUUACACGUGCAGAGACGCCCAGCUCGUAUCUGGCACCCAGUAAGGUUGUGGUUUGCAGACCAUGUUGCCUGUUAGAAGCAGCAGGGUUAGAUUCGAACCCUCGGUUGAAUUGGUAAGAGUACAGCCUGGCCCUGGGAUCUUUUAAAGCUCUCGGCACGACUCUGAAACAGGCAGCUAAGUUGGGGGACCGCUGCAAUAAAGGACAACGUCUGAUGAUUAAAUGGAUGGGCAAGUUCAGAUGAGGACCUGAGGAGUUAGUUAUCCGUGUACUGUUUGUGCUUAGUUAGCUCUUCUUUCAGAAAAGGCCCCCUAAGAUCACACGGACCGACCACAGAGGGCUUGCUGCUUGGGCCCCCGCCCGGCCCCAAGCGUACUUACUUCGGGUGACACAGGAAGGGCAGAGCCAGAAGCGUCCUGCUCCUUUCACACUGCUUCUUAGGUGAAAGGCCAGUAGCUCCAAGACUCUGAGUUCUACUUUCUACUGUACACAAAACUGCUUUGUAACGGAUCGGAGAGCUAAUUGUGAAGCUAAAACAGCUUUCUAGAGGAAAACAUAGGAGAUUAUCAUCAUGAUAUUGGGACAAAGAUUUUUUAAAUAGGAGACAAAACCCGCCCAUCACAGAAGAACUAAUCAUUGACUAAGUAAAAAUUGUUAAAAUGUUUAUCAAAAUAAACCAAAACAAACUCCCAAACAAAACCAAAAACAUCAAAGCAAAAAGAUAAAGUGCCCUUAGCCUUGGCUGCCUCGUUGGCCUGCAUUUGACCAUUUGCACUAAGAACACGCAGACCAAAGACGACAUCGCUUCCAGAAAGCGGGAACGUGAAUGCACGCGCUCAGUGCAAGAAACCAAUCCAGAUAAGGCUACGUCUUGUAUGACUCCAGCCGUACAUUCUGGAAAAGACAAGACAGUUGGGAGAAUAAACAGACCAGAGGCUGGAAGCGGGGCAGAGAGGAAAGGGAGGGAUCCGUGAGACAGAGGGAUCUUCAGGGAAGUGCAGCUCUUCCAUGUGCUAAGGGCGGGGCGGGUGCAGGACACACGCUUGUCUGCACCUGUAGAAAGCACUGUACCACCCCAAGAACGAGUCCUCACGUAAACUAGUCACUUUGGUUCCUAAUGAUAAUGGGUCAAGACGGGUUCAUCAGUUGUAGUAAGCGGACACACGAAUGCGAGAUGUUAGCAUGAGAAGCAGUGGGCAGAGGAUGUGGAAACUAUACUUCCUGCUCAAGUUUUCUGUAAGGGUAGAACUGCUCUAAUAAAUAAAAAUUUCUAAAAAGCAGUUUUUAAAAAGUGAGCUCAAAUAUGUUGCUUUUCUAUUAAGUGAUAAUACGGUAUCUGUGAAAAGUAACUUUUCCACUGCUGCGUGAAUCAGUCUAACAACCAACUGCCCUGUCAUGUCAGUCUGUCAUUCAAACGUUGUUUUUGGCAAGAGCCGAUUUGCAGUGUUUAAAGGAAAAAGACUGACUUCAGAGGAUUCAGGAAAUUCAAAAGCCUAAGUUUAUGAAAACCUUAAUUUUAUUACCUACAUAGCUGGUAGAGUCUGAAAGAAAACUCUAACUAUAGGUGCUAAAACAUAUCUAAAUUAUGAUCUUUGAUUCCAAGUAAAUCUACUUUAAAAAAAGCAACUGUAUAUCAAAUUUUAAUUAAUGAAAGGAAAAAGCUGCUUCUGCUUUUUGUUUUUUUUUGGCUGUGCCUGUGGCAUGCAGAAGCUCCCCGGCCAGGGAUUGAACCCAUGCCACAGCACACUACAGCAGCAACUCCUGGUUCUUAACCCAGUAAGCCACUAUGCAACUCCUGCUUCUGCUUUUUAAAAAGAUUUCUUUAAAUAUAAUGCCACUAUUUUUGCUAUUAUACUGUUACACUGGAGGUGAAACAUGUUUCUCCCUAAUCAUUAGACAAUGUUUAUGCCACAAAAUAUCACCCAGUCUUUAAAAAUUUUUUAAAGCCAAUAUGCCAGUCUUAAUGAUUGAUAAAUUUGUCAGGCUAUCCAGAAAUGCAACUCCACCUCACAACUUGAGUAAUGUUUCUUAUAAAAAUUGGUACAUAUAAAAAAUUUUAGAUAUUUAUUACUGAAAAAGUUGCAACUUCCAAAACACAACACUACAAUUUAAAUAUGUUUAUUUUGAAUAGCAUAUUUCCAUCUCUGCUUUUUGCAAGUGCUGGAAAUAUCUAUGAGACAGAUGGCAGGAAAUAGGCAGAAUUAUAAUUUAAUGAAAACAAUGAAAGCAGGUUUAUAAAUGUGUAAAAAUUAGUCAAACUUUGUUAUAGAACAAAAAGACAAAUCUACUUCAAUGGCCCAUUUGUUCCAAACAGUAUUAGAAGCAGAACUGUCUCAUACCCACACAAUUUUGUUCUAAUUAUUUCAACUGUACAGUAGUCAUUAAAAGGGAUAAAGAAAAGUACAGAAAAAGUAUGUUUAAAAGUCCCCUCAAAUUAUAUGUAAUAACUUAAGGUUAUUUCAAGAUUUUUCUUUAGGAAUGAAAAUAAUAAAGCAAAAAAUAUGAACAUCUUAAAGUAGAAUAAAUUUGUAAGAUUUAAUAGGAAAUGUAUUUUGGCAAAUUGUUAUCUUUUGGUCAAACUCCACUACUUGCUCCUCUGAACUACAAGGUGGCCCUGCAUGUGCCCGUGGGUCCCGCUGAGUGGGGAAAGGAUUCAGCUCACUGGCGCUGUUCCCAAAGAGAUUGGCUUUACCACUGAAUACGAACAGCUUCAUCCCCGGGGGGACCGCUGGACGUCAGAAGGGACUAUUAGACUGUGAAACUUAUUAGCACAAUGCACAAAGAAACACUCUUCCCAGCCACGACUAUUCUCAAGUGGAGAAAUGUUCUCUGUUAGUCUUAAAUCACU